UUCUCCUCCGCCAAUCCCUUCUCCGAGACCACAAAUCCCAGAAGUCACCGCGGCCGCCCCCACCGCAUGACCUUCUGGGAUUUGUAGUAAUCAGGGCCACGCGGCUGGGCGCGCCCUCUAACAGCAGCACCGAAUGACCGCAGCGCAGGAGCGCGGGAAAAUGAGGCUGCGCGGGGUGAGGAGCGCACCAGGAGGAGCCGCCCCAGCUGUACCGCGCAGCGUCGCGUCCAGUCAGUGGGGAAUAAGGUCUUGGAGUUAGGUCAACAGGAGAAGAGUCAAGUGAGGUCACAGAUGAGGAAUGGCCUUUAUUGGUUGCAAUGGGAAGCAAAAGAGGAGACCUGAAAUCAAAUGAGAAAGCGUAAGCAUCCUCAGGAGCAGCCCACUGGAUCUCAGUUCUGCCCUGCUCAGAGAAGUUCAGUAUCCAGGCAACUGAGGACAGAACCGGCUGGCACCAAAGUCAUGAUGUUGAGGGGGCCAGAGCCCCUUUCCCUCUGCCUCCAUACAUAACAGGGAGCAGGACCACACAGUCAGUCCCUGACAAGAAAAGGAGGGUGGAUUUUCUGAAAUAUGAUAUUCACCAUUAAAAUUAACAAGUUAACAAAAGUAA